rnacentral:rRNA from 1 species
GACGAACGCUGGCGGCGUGCCUAAUACAUGCAAGUAGAACGCACAGUUUAUACCGUAGCUUGCUACACCAUAGACUGUGAGUUGCGAACGGGUGAGUAACGCGUAGGUAACCUGCCUGGUAGCGGGGGAUAACUAUUGGAAACGAUAGCUAAUACCGCAUAAUAUUAAUUAUUGCAUGAUAAUUAAUUGAAAGGUGCAAUUGCACCACUACCAGAUGGACCUGCGUUGUAUUAGCUGGUAGGUGAGGUAACGGCUCACCUAGGCGACGAUACAUAGCCGACCUGAGAGGGUGAUCGGCCACACUGGGACUGAGACACGGCCCAGACUCCUACGGGAGGCAGCAGUAGGGAAUCUUCGGCAAUGGACGAAAGUCUGACCGAGCAACGCCGCGUGAGUGAAGAAGGGUUUCGGAUCGUAAAGCGCUGUUGUAAGAGAAGAACGGGUGUGAGAGUGGAAAGUUCACACUGUGACGGUAUCUUAACAGAAAGGGACGGCUAACUACGUG